rnacentral:rRNA from 1 species
GACGAACGCUGGCGGCGUGCUUAACACAUGCAAGUCGAACGGAAAGGCCCUGCUUUUGUGGGGUGCUCGAGUGGCGAACGGGUGAGUAACACGUGAGUAACCCGCCCUUCACUUUGGGAUAACUUCACGAAACUCGGGCUAAUACCGGAUAGGAGCUCCUGCUGCAUGGUGGGGGUUGGAAAGUUUCGGCUGUUGGGGACGGACUCGCGGCUUAUCAGCUUGUUGGUGGGGUAGUGGCUUACCAAGGCUUUGACGGGUAGCCGGCCUGAGAGGGUGACCGGCGACAUUGGGACUGAGAUACGGACCAGAAUCCUACGGGAGGCAGCAGUGGGGAAUAUUGCACAGUGGGCGGAAGCCUGAUGCAGAGACGCCGCGUGCGGGAUGACGGCCUUCGGGUUGUAAACAGCUUUCGCCUGUGACGAAGCGUGAGUGACGGUACUGGGUAAAGAAGCACCGGCUAACUACGUG